GGGAUGCUUACACAUGCAAGUCGAACGGCAGCACGGACUUCGGUCUGGUGGCGAGUGGCGAACGGGUGAGUAAUGUACCGGAACGUGCCUAGUAGCGGGGAUAACUACGCGAAAGCGUGGCUAAUACCGCAUACGAAGCCCUUCGGGGGAAAGCGGGGGACCUUCGGGCUCUAAUUAGGGAGCGGCCGAUAUCGGAUUAGCUAGUUGGUGGGGUAACGGCUCACCAAGUGACGAUCCGUAGCUGGUUUGAGAGGACGACCAGCCACACUGGGACUGAGACACGGCCCAGACUCCUACGGGAGGCAGCAGUGGGGUUUGACGAAUGGGGAAACUCCUGAUCCAGCCAUCCGCGGUGCGAUGAAGGCCUUCGGGUUGUAAAGCACUUUUGGCAGGAAAGAAAUGGCACGGGAUAAUACCCGCAACGACGGUACCUGCAGAAGAAGUACCGGCGUGAAUUGCUGCCGGUGCAGCUGGCGCAAUACGUAGGGUGUAAGCGUUAAUCGUGGGAAUUACUGGGCGUAAAGCGCAGGGUGGCGGUUCGAAAAGAAAGAUGAAAUCCCAGAGCUUAACUUUGAACCGCAUUUUUUAACUACUGAGCUAGAGUGUCAGAGGGAGUGUGAAUUCCGCGUGUAGCAGUGAAAUGCGUAGAUAUGCGGAGGAACACCGAUGGCGAAGGCAGCCUCCUUAGAUAACACUGACGCUCAUGCACGAGCGGCGGGAGCAAACAGGAUUAGAUACCCUGGUAGUCCAUGCCUAAACGAUGUCAGUUCAGCUGUUAGCUCUUGGCCUUGGUAGCAGCUAACGUGAAGUUGACCGCCUGUAGUGGCCGGUCGCAAGAUUAAAACUCAAAGGAAUUGAUGGGGACUCCUGCACAAGCGGUGGAUGAUGUGGGAUUAAUUCGAUGCAACGCGAAAAACCUUACCUACCCUUAUUAUGUCUGAACUUCAAGAGAUUUGGGAGUGCCUUCGCAAGAGAACCGGAACACAGGUGCUACGGCUGUCGUCAGCUCGUGUCGUGAGAUGUUGGGUUAAGUCCCGCAACGAGCGCAACCUUUGUCAUUAGUUACAGCUACGAAAGGGCAAUUUUAAUGAGGACUUGCCGGCAUAAACCGAGGAAGGUGGGAUGACGUUGCGUCCUCAUAUUCGUGGUAGGGCUUGGCUAUCGUCAUACAAUGGUCGGGAUGAGGGUCACAACCCGCGAGGGGAGCUAAUCCCAGAACCCGAUCGGGAAGUCCGACGCAGUCUGCAAAUCGACUGCGUGAAGUCAGAAUCGCUAGUAAUUCUGCGUGGAUCAACAGUAUGCCGCGGUGAAUACGUUCCCGGGUCUUGUACACACUGCCCGUCACACCAUGGGAGCGCGGGGUUUUACCAGAAGUAGUUAGCUUUAACCGUAAGGAGGCAGAUUACCACGGUAGGAUUCAUGACUGGGGUGAAAGCCGAAUGCCGUAA
rnacentral:rRNA from 1 species